rnacentral:rRNA from 1 species
UAGGGAAUCUUCCGCAAUGGACGCAAGUCUGACGGAGCAACGCCGCGUGAGUGAAGAAGGUUUUCGGAUCGUAAAGCUCUGUUGUUAAGGAAGAACGAGUGUGAGAAUGGAAAGUUCAUACUGUGACGGUACUUAACCAGAAAGGGACGGCUAACUACGUGCCAGCAGCCGCGGUAAUACGUAGGUCCCGAGCGUUGUCCGGAUUUAUUGGGCGUAAAGCGAGCGCAGGCGGUUAGAAAAGUCUGAAGUGAAAGGCAGUGGCUCAACCAUUGUAGGCUUUGGAAACUGUUUAACUUGAGUGCAGAAGGGGAGAGUGGAAUUCCAUGUGUAGCGGUGAAAUGCGUAGAUAUAUGGAGGAACACCAGUGGCGAAGGCGACUCUCUGGUCUGUAACUGACGCUGAGGCUCGAAAGCGUGGGUAGCAAACAGG